rnacentral:rRNA from 1 species
CCUACGGGAGGCAGCAGUGAGGAAUAUUGGUCAAUGGGCGGGAGCCUGAACCAGCCAAGUCGCGUGCAGGAAGAAGGUACUUAGUAUUGUAAACUUCUUUUGUCGGGGAACAAAGGCAGAGACGCGUCUCCGGAUGAGUGUACCCGAAGAAAAAGCAUCGGCUAACUCCGUGCCAGCAGCCGCGGUAAUACGGAGGAUGCGAGGGUUAUCCGGAUUUAUUGGGUUUAAGGGGUGCGAGGGCGGAGGAUCAGGUCAGCGGUAAAAUGUCGGGGCUCAACCCCGGUCGGCCGUUGAAACUGGUUGUCUAGAGUUGGAGAGAAGUAUGCGGAAUUCGUGGUGUAGCGGUGAAAUGCAUAGAUAUCACGAAGAACACCGAUUGCGAAGGCAGCAUACCGGCUCCAUACUGACGCUGAGGCACGAAAGCGUGGGGAUCGAACAGGAUUAGAUACCCGGGUAGUC